CCUACGGGGCGCAGCAGUGAGGAAUAUUGGUCAAUGGACGAGAGUCUGAACCAGCCAAGUAGCGUGAAGGAUGACUGCCCUAUGGGUUGUAAACUUCUUUUAUAUGGGAAUAAAAUGUUCCACGUGUGGGAUUUUGUAUGUACCAUAUGAAUAAGGAUCGGCUAACUCCGUGCCAGCAGCCGCGGUAAUACGGAGGAUCCGAGCGUUAUCCGGAUUUAUUGGGUUUAAAGGGAGCGUAGGUGGAUUGUUAAGUCAGUUGUGAAAGUUUGCGGCUCAACCGUAAAAUUGCAGUUGAAACUGGCAGUCUUGAGUACAGUAGAGGUGGGCGGAAUUCGUGGUGUAGCGGUGAAAUGCUUAGAUAUCACGAAGAACUCCGAUUGCGAAGGCAGUUCACUGGACUGCAACUGACACUGAGGUUCGAAAGUGUGGGUAUCAAACAGGAUUAGAUACCCCAGUAGUC
rnacentral:rRNA from 1 species